GAUGAACGCUGGCGGCGUGCCUAAUACAUGCAAGUCGAGCGAACAGAUGAGGAGCUUGCUCCUCUGACGUUAGCGGCGGACGGGUGAGUAACACGUGGAUAACCUACCUAUAAGACUUGGAUAACUUCGGGAAACCGGAGCUAUUACCGGAUAAUAUAUUGAACCGCAUGGUUCAAUAGAGAAAGACGGUUUUGCUGUCACUUCUAGAUGGAUCAGCGCCGCAUUAGCUAGUUGGUAAGGUAACGGCUUACCAAGGCAACGAUGCGUAGCCGACGUGAGAGGGUGGUCGGCCACACUGGAUCUGAGACACGGUCCAGACUCCUACGCGAGGCAGCAGUAGGGAAUCUUCAGCAAUGGGCGAAAGCCUGACGUAGCAACGCCGCGUGAGUGAUGAAGGUCUUCGGAUCAUAAAACUCUGUUAUUAGGGAAGAACAAAUGGGUAAGUAACUAUGCACGUCUUGACGGUACCUAAACAGAAAGCCACGGCUAACUACGUG
rnacentral:rRNA from 1 species